CGCAUCUGUGCAUGCAGCAUAUCAAUAAGCGGAGGAAAAGAAACUAACAAGGAUUCCCCUAGUAACGGCGAGUGAAGCGGGAAGAGCUCAAAUUUGAAAUCUUAAAGGGUUUCCCUUUACGAAUUGUAGUUUAAAGAAGUGUUUUCUGUUGAGGUUUUGGUAAAAGUUCUUUGGAAUAGGACAUCAUAGAGGGUGAGAAUCCCGUAUUUGACCUUUACUUUCAACUUUGUGAUACACUUUCAAAGAGUCGGAUUGUUUGGGAAUGCAGUCCAAAAUGGGUGGUAAAUUUCAUCUAAAGCUAAAUAUUGGCGAGAGACCGAUAGCGAACAAGUACCGUGAGGGAAAGAUGAAAAGAACUUUGAAAAGAGAGUUAAACAGUACGUGAAAUUGUCAAAAGGGAAGCGUUUGACACCAGUGUUGUUUUUCUGAAAAUCAAUUAAAGAACUGUUUAUGCUAAGUUGUUUAGACUUUAUCAGCUAACUGUUUAGUUUUGAGCUUUUCUUUAAUGCACUUUUCAGUUAACAAGUCAACAUCAAUUUCUUUUGCUGUAAAAAAGCUUGAGGAAGGUGGCUUGAGAUUCGUCUUAAGUGUUUAUAGCCUCUCGCCUAUGCAGUCGGAGAGAUUGAGGUCUGCAGCGUAGAUCCUUCGGGGCUAAAUGCAUUUGUGCUAAGUUAUAGCAUUUUAUAGACAACUUGUUGACUAUGAUUUGUCUUGUAGCUUACUCGCUUAUGUUAUUUUACCUACGCUUAGGAUGUUGACAGCAGUAUAGACUGU
rnacentral:rRNA from 1 species